CACCAGAGACCUGGUCACGUGAUCUGGAGACUUGGAGACGUGAUCAGUUUGCCACUCACUUCCUAUGAGGCUCUCUACCAUGGAUACAACAUGUAAAAGAACCCUAAGUUACCGACAUGUUACAUACAGUGCCUCUCGCUGCACAACGCUGAAUUAAAAGGCGUGGAAAAGUGACAUGUUGACGGCACAAUUAUUGCAUGCCAUUUUUUUUAUUAUUCGGUGUAGUUUUUAUUAAUUUCUGUGACGUGACAUAUUUAGAAAACCUGUAAGAAAUUUCGAGUUCUCGGUUUCUUGUGAAAUAUGAUAGGUGGAAGCAUAAUUUCUACUCGUUUGAUCAGCUGUUCGACCACGCGUUUUCUCGCGUAAAUAGGCCUCUUUUCAUAGCCCAUUUUACGGUUGUGUUAACUGUUGAAGCAAAAGGGGAAAACUCGGAACUUUUUACAAGUGUGCUGAAGCCAUUUCGUGUCUUGUUUUGGAGAAAUAUAAUUUCAUUUUGAAAUGGCACGCAAGAAUUCUUAGCGUGGCACUUCUCGCCUAUGAUGUCACAAUUCCAAUAUGGUCGCAGUGACCAUCCAGAGGCCUUAAGGCAAGAUCGAGGAUAGAUCCGGCCAGUUAAAGCUUAUCCAGAAGGAAGUCACUUUGCAUCUUACUAGGAGUAUGUCGACAAAACUAUUAAGCGGCAGAAAGAUUAUAUCGUACUCGAUUUCCUAAAAGACG